rnacentral:rRNA from 1 species
AGAAUCAACGCUGGCGGCGUGCCUAACACAUGCAAGUCGAACGAGAAAGGGGAGCAAUCCCUGAGUAAAGUGGCGCACGGGUGAGUAACACGUGACUAACCUACCUUUUAGUGGGGGAUAACCUAGGGAAACCUGGGCUAAUACCGCAUAAUACCUACGGGUCAAAGCAGCAAUGCGCUGAAAGAGGGGGUCGCGGCCGAUUAGCUAGUUGGCGGGGUAAUGGCCCACCAAGGCAGUGAUCGGUAUCCGGCCUGAGAGGGCGCACGGACACACUGGAACUGAAACACGGUCCAGACUCCUACGGGAGGCAGCAGUGGGGAAUUUGCGCAAUGGGGGAAACCCUGACGCAGCAACGCCGCGUGGAGGAUGAAGUCCCUUGGGACGUAAACUCCUUUCGAUCGGGACGAUAAUGACGGUACCGGAAGAAGAGCCCGGCUAACUUCGCGCCAGCAGCCGC